rnacentral:rRNA from 1 species
ACGGGAGGCAGCAGUGAGGAAUAUUGGUCAAUGGGCGGGAGCCUGAACCAGCCAAGUCGCGUGGGGGAUGACGGUCCUACGGAUUGUAAACCCCUUUUGCCGGGGAGUAACGUGCGGGACGUGUCCCGCAGUGAGAGUACCCGGAGAAAAAGCAUCGGCUAACUCCGUGCCAGCAGCCGCGGUAAUACGGAGGAUGCGAGCGUUAUCCGGAUUUAUUGGGUUUAAAGGGUGCGCAGGCGGCGCGUCAAGUCCGCGGUCAAAUCCCGGUGCUCAACGCCGGUCCGCCUUUGAAACUGCCGUGCUCGAGUUCGUGCGAGGAGCGCGGAAUGCGUGGUGUAGCGGUGAAAUGCAUAGCUAUCACGCAGAACGCCGAUUGCGAAGGCAGCCCUCCAGCACUGGACUGACGCUCAUGCACGAACGCGUGGUUAUCGAACAGGAUUAGUUACCCUGGUA